rnacentral:rRNA from 1 species
GAUGAACGCUGGCGGCGUGCCUAAUACAUGCAAGUCGAGCGCUGGAACUCUAGCUUGCUAGAUUGAAGGAGUGGCGAACGGGUGAGUAAUACAUAAGCAACCUACCCACGAAGACUGGGAUAAUCUCUGGAAACGGGGACUAAUACCGGAUAGGUAAUCGGAAGGCAUCUUCUGAUUAUUAAAGGUUAAAAACACUGGUGGAUGGGCUUAUGGCGCAUUAGUUAGUUGGUGAGGUAACGGCCCACCAAGACGAUGAUGCGUAGCCGGCCUGAGAGGGUGAACGGCCACAUUGGGACUGAGACACGGCCCAGACUCCUACGGGAGGCAGCAGUAGGGAAUUUUCGGCAAUGGGGGAAACCCUGACCGAGCAACGCCGCGUGAGUGAUGACGGCCUUCGGGUUGUAAAGCUCUGUUGUAAGGGAAGAACGGUAGAUAGAGAAUAUCUAAAUGACGGUACCUUACCAGAAAGCCACGGCUAACUACGUG